rnacentral:rRNA from 1 species
UAGAGUUUGAUCAUGGCUCAGAUUGAACGCUGGCGGCAUGCCUUACACAUGCAAGUCGAACGGCAGCACGGACUUCGGUCUGGUGGCGAGUGGCGAACGGGUGAGUAAUGUAUCGGAACGUACCUUUCAGUGGGGGAUAACGUAGCGAAAGUUACGCUAAUACCGCAUAUUCUGUGAGCAGGAAAGCAGGGGAUCGCAAGACCUUGCGCUGAUUGAGCGGCCGAUAUCAGAUUAGCUAGUUGGUGAGGUAAAGGCUCACCAAGGCGACGAUCUGUAGCGGGUCUGAGAGGAUGAUCCGCCACACUGGAACUGAGACACGGUCCAGACUCCUACGGGAGGCAGCAGUGGGGAAUUUUGGACAAUGGGGGCAACCCUGAUCCAGCCAUGCCGCGUGAGUGAAGAAGGCCUUCGGGUUGUAAAGCUCUUUCGGCCGGGAAGAAAUCGCAUGGGUUAAUACCCUGUGUGGAUGACGGUACCGGAAUAAGAAGCACCGGCUAACUACGUGCCAGCAGCCGCGGUAAUACGUAGGGUGCGAGCGUUAAUCGGAAUUACUGGGCGUAAAGCGUGCGCAGGCGGUUUAGUAAGACAGGCGUGAAAUCCCCGGGCUUAACCUGGGAACUGCGUUUGUGACUGCAUAACUUGAGUGUGGCAGAGGGGGGUGGAAUUCCACGUGUAGCAGUGAAAUGCGUAGAGAUGUGGAGGAACACCGAUGGCGAAGGCAGCCCCCUGGGUCAACACUGACGCUCAUGCACGAAAGCGUGGGGA